rnacentral:tRNA from 1 species
GCGCGCUUAGCUCAGUGGCAGAGCGACCGCUUGACGUGCGGUAGGUCGGGGGUUCAAUCCCCUCAGCGCGCA